rnacentral:lncRNA from 1 species
AAGGAUAGUAAGAGUGCUCAUUGAUAUUAUUAAGUUGGAUAUUUAAUUGUUAUAAAUUAUCGAGUUUAAGACAUUGAGAGAAUUGAGUAAAUUACUAUUUUAAUGGGCCAAAAUUACCCGGCCCAAACCACUAAAAAACCAAAACCAAUGAAAGCCCAAAAUAAAAUAAAAAAACCUACCCAAGCAAACCCUAACAGCCCAAAGCCCAGCAAAACAAAAGAAACACAAAAAAAGACAAAACCCUAGUCCUAAGUGCUUCAGCCGCCGUAACCAAGUCAGCCUCCAGGCGCCGCACGUUGCGCACCACUCCUUCACGAUGUGCGCCGCUCCACCGCGCCACGUCAGAGGCGUGUCCGCCCACGUACCUGCAAAAAAGGGCUAAAUAUCCAGUUACCAAACAGUGUAAAAUUGGCUAUAUAAAGCCACAAUGUAAGAGGUUAUGGGGGAUGAAAAAAGAGGAAGGGAAGAAGAGAUUUAAACAUAUUUUUUCAAAAAAAAAAAACAGCAACAAACAUUUGCAGAAUAGAAAACCAACAAUCGAGCAAAGGUCUUUUGAGUUUUUUUUCUUAUCUUAUCUUUUUUCAUUUUCGAAACUUUUUUACCAUUAUUGUUUUUAUUUUUAUCAACAUAUAUUACAUGUAAAAAAAACAAAAAAAGGGAAAUUUUACCUUCGGCGCCGCUGUGUACGGCGACCGACGGUGAAUGGCGGUGGUUGGCGCUGCAGUCUGGCCAGACUUCAGGCCUGCAGAGAAAAGGAGAGAAGGGUUUUGUUUUUUUAAGAAAUGAGAGAAAA